rnacentral:rRNA from 1 species
UACGUAGGGUGCAAGCGUUGUUCGGAAUCAUUGGGCGUAAAGCGCGUGUAGGCGGUCAAUUAAGUCGGGUGUGAAAUCCCUCGGCUCAACCGGGGAAGUGCAUUCGAAACUAAUUGGCUGGAGAGUGGUAGAGGAAGGUGGAAUUCCAAGUGUAGAGGUGAAAUUCGUAGAUAUUUGGAGGAAUACCGGCGGCGAAGGCGGCCUUCUGGACCAUUUCUGACGCUGAGACGCGAAAGCGUGGGGAGCAAACAGG